CAAAAAUCAUCCCGGGGGGGGCAGUGGACACCCCCCCAGCAUGAAAACACCUUGGGCUGUUGGCCACCCCCUUGCAGCGGGUAGCAGCAGGGUGGGCGCUCGCCGCGCCUUUCUGUGCGCCCCCCGGGGUGCUGCAACGCUGCGGGAGCCUCCCGGGGGGCUGGGGGUGCUCAGCACCCGCUUUCUGGGGUGCCCUGCGGAGUGGGGUGCCCCUUGGGGUGCUGUGGGAGGCUGUAGUAGGGUGCCACCAGCUCGUGCUGGGUGCUGUCACCGUGGGGCGCCGGUAGGGCCAGGGCCAGGCUCCUUUACCCCCUUAGGCUGCGCUGCGGUUUUGGGGGAGCUGAGUGGGGAGCCCAAGGGCAUCCUCGCCCCACUGCCCCUUGGGGUCCUUGUGCCCCGUGCAGAGGGGGCAGGAUGGGAUGGAGCAGGGCGCUGCCUCCUCUCCUCCCCCUGGCCCUGCAGGGAGGGCUCCAGGGCUGAGCUCCUGCAGAAACAAAACCCCAAAACGCCUUGGGAGAGGCAGCCGGUGCCGCCCCCGCACCAACUGCGCCAGCUGGGAAGGGGCUGGCACCAGAGACAGGAACAGUGAAGGGGGCUCUGUGCCCCACAGGGUGCUGCUCCGGGGUCCUGCCUCCUCCCAGACCCUACAGCUUGUGCCCUGGGCUCUUAUCACGGGGUGCCACGUCCCCGGGAGGCUGGGUGCCCAUCAUGGUUGGGGUGCCGAGGGGCUCUCCAGCUCCCCGCGCCUGCGUUUCCCCCCAGCUCGCGGGUGAUGUCAGGGAAAUUAAAAGCCAGCAGGAGACGAGCGGGUCGAGCCGAGUAACCGAAGCCGCCCGCAGGAGCUGCAGUAACGAGGCUGGCUGGGGCUGCGUCUGCCCGGAUCGGGUUGCCCGCAGAAUGCGACCCGGUCCCGUGAGGCUCAGCCCGGCUCAGCUUUCCCCUAACGAGCGCUUCCAUCCUUAAUGAAGCUCCGUGGGGCUCGCCGUGCCAGCCGAGCGUGUCUCCCCGCCUCACAGCUGGCCAAAAAGGGCCUCAGAGUGUUGUAGGGCUGCAGCACCGGGAGAAGGCACAGCCAGACUCAGGAGAGCUGGUGAUGGGGGCACCUCGGUACCUGGGGGGGUUCCCAUGUGCACAGCCCCUCACCCAUUUUGGCUCCUUCACCAAAAACCACAACAAAACUCCUCCUGGCGCUUGUCCUCCUGGCGGUUCCUAUUUCCCACAACCUCUCCUUUCCCCCUCGAUAAAAGGAGUUUCCUCGUGGGAAGCGGCGGCCAAUAUUGGCAGGAAAUGAGCCUUGAUUUAUCGGGCCGUUUGGCACUCUGGAGUUAUGAUUCUUCGAGUGCCGUGGUGAACCGAGGAGCAAAUCAUCCCCGGCCGUGCUGCCAGCAGCCUGCCCGGGCAGCCCCAGGGUGAGCGGGGUCCCUGUGGGGCCGGGGAUGCCCUGCAGGCAGCACUGCGGCUCUGCAGGGGAGGAGAGAAACGCUUUUUUGGGGCGUGAAUGCCAGCCUUUGCAGCACGAAGGGGGGAUUUUCAAGCACUGCAUCCUCCUGUCUGCCUCCCCUCUCGUCCCAAGCCCUCCCCUGCCCUUCCCACCGGGUGCAGGGGGCAGGAGGUGGUGUGGGUGCCCCCGUGCCCAGGGUUCGCCCCCACCACAGAUGUGCUGCUGGUCCCAGGAGCCCCCCGACUCGCUGGAAGAAUGCGAGCGCAGGGCUAUUUUGCAUCUGUAAUUAGCGGCGGAGGAUAAUUGGCCCCUCUGCAGCAAUUACGCAGAAAAGCGAGCCAUUGUGGAGAGCUCCGGCGCGGGGCAGGUGCUGCCAGAAACCCGGCUCGCAGCGACACAAUCCCCUUUUUGUCUGCAGAUACCCAGCCCCGAAGGCACCCUCCGAGCCCCAUCCGGGGCAGGGGCCGUGUUGGGGACAUAAAGGCUCCAUUUUUCCUGGGAAAACGCCUCGCUGCGCCGAGCUGGGUGCGGGCAGCGGCCGGGGGGAGCGCGGCCAUAAAGCCCAUGGGGAGGUCGGGGUCGCUGCCUCCUUCCCCUGCUGCUCGGCCCCAUAGGGAAGCUCCCUGCUCCAAGGCUCCCCUACAAAAGCACGGCAGGGCUCGCUGUUUGCCCUGCUGUUGCACAAAUCUCAGCCCCGGUGGCUGCCCCGCCGGGGACAAAGUCUGUCCGUGGGGCAGAGCUGUCAGCGAGGUGUCCCCGCUCCUGCCAAGCAGCAGGGGAAGAGCCCAGCUCCGUCCCAGCACCGCUCCCACCCCAGGGUGCCCACACACUGCCCGGCACAGCCGAGGAGGAGCAGCAGCACCGGGGGACGGGGGGGUCCCAGUGAGGUGCGGCCCGCAGGGAGCCAAAAUUGGGCUGUGGCUGGCUGCGGCGCGUGACCCUGGUGCUGGCACCUUCCUCCUGUGCUGCUGCUCCCAGCACCAUCCCUUCCUCGCCCUGCCUUCAUGCACGUGAUGAGGCGAUGCCUGCGGGCUGCCCAGCCUCGUUUGCCCUGAUCCUUUUAGCUCUUGUCCCCGAGCGAGCCGAGGAGGGCAUGGGGACACAGCCCGAUGAUGCCACCAGCAGGGCCGCUAACCAAAACCAUCCCUGGGGUAAGGGCUGAUUUCCUGGCUUCUCCUCACGCCUCCGCUGGGCGUUGCUGAUCUGCUGCACGCAGCAGUGCGGGGUCACCAUGCCCCCCGAGCUUGGGGACGCCCCAUGCCGCAGCAGCCGCCUUGCCCCGAGUUUUAUGGCCAGGGCUGAGGGAUGUGGGAGCAGCUCGGGGGGGUUGCGGGGGGGAGGCGCAGCCCUAAUCCGUUUAGCGAAGCGCUCACUUGGCCAUUUCUGAGGCAGGUGGAAGAACGGCGAGGAGGGGACGCGGGCAGCUCGGCAGGGCGAGCUCUCCCCAGUGGACGCGAGGGGCCAGGAGAUCACUUCUCCCUGGGGGCUGCCAUGGUCACCGCAGCCUCCCCAGCUCUGCCCUGUGAGGUUUGGC